rnacentral:rRNA from 1 species
AGCGAACGCUGGCGGCAGGCUUAACACAUGCAAGUCGAACGGGCGUAGCAAUACGUCAGUGGCAGACGGGUGAGUAACGCGUGGGAACGUACCUUUUGGUUCGGAACAACCCAGGGAAACUUGGGCUAAUACCGGAUAAGCCCUUACGGGGAAAGAUUUAUCGCCGAAAGAUCGGCCCGCGUCUGAUUAGCUUGUUGGUGAGGUAACGGCUCACCAAGGCGACGAUCAGUAGCUGGUCUGAGAGGAUGAUCAGCCACAUUGGGACUGAGACACGGCCCAAACUCCUACGGGGAGGCAGCAGUGGGGAAUAUUGGGACAAUGGGCGGCAAGCCUGAUCCAGCCAUGCCGCGUGAGUGAUGAA